rnacentral:rRNA from 1 species
UCGUCAAACUGCGGGAAAGCCCUGCCACGACUCUCGGGACCUCACCGCCCCAGCAAUGGAAGCGGGUGCCUGCGGCCAACGGCCGCGGGUACGGUAAAGCACCGAAGUCUAGGGGCGAUCCGCCGCCAAACCCUCCCCGCACCGGGAGGGCCCAGCUCACAGGCCAGACGGCGAUGGGCGCUCUCGCGCUUAAGAUAUGGUCGAGUGACUCGCCGAGAGGCGGGUGCAACUCAGGAACGUCCGUAGGUGAACCUGCGGAAGGAUCAUU